rnacentral:rRNA from 1 species
GACGAACGCUGGCGGCGUGCUUAACACAUGCAAGUCGAACGGAAAGGCCCUGCUUUUGUGGGGUGCUCGAGUGGCGAACGGGUGAGUAACACGUGAGUAACCUGCCCUUGACUUUGGGAUAACUUCAGGAAACUGGGGCUAAUACCGGAUAGGAGCUCCUGCUGCAUGGUGGGGGUUGGAAAGUUUCGGCGGUUGGGGAUGGACUCGCGGCUUAUCAGCUUGUUGGUGGGGUAGUGGCUUACCAAGGCUUUGACGGGUAGCCGGCCUGAGAGGGUGACCGGCCACAUUGGGACUGAGAUACGGCCCAGACUCCUACGGGAGGCAGCAGUGGGGAAUAUUGCACAAUGGGCGGAAGCCUGAUGCAGCAACGCCGCGUGCGGGAUGACGGCCUUCGGGUUGUAAGCCGCUUUCGCCUGUGACGAAGCGUGAGUGACGGUAAUGGGUAAAGAAGCACCGGCUAACUACGUGCCAGCAGCCGCGGUGAUACGUAGGGUGCGAGCGUUGUCCGGAUUUAUUGGGCGUAAAGGGCUCGUAGGUGGUUGAUCGCGUCGGAAGUGUAAUCUUGGGGCUUAACCCUGAGCGUGCUUUCGAUACGGGUUGACUUGAGGAAGGUAGGGGAGAAUGGAAUUCCUGGUGGAGCGGUGGAAUGCGCAGAUAUCAGGAGGAACACCAGUGGCGAAGGCGGUUCUCUGGGCCUUUCCUGACGCUGAGGAGCGAAAGCGUGGGGAGCGAACAGGCUUAGAUACCCUGGUAGUCCACGCUGUAAACGGUGGGUACUAGGUGUGGGGUCCAUUCCACGGGUUCCGUGCCGUAGCUAACGCUUUAAGUACCCCGCCUGGGGAGUACGGCCGCAAGGCUAAAACUCAAAGGAAUUGACGGGGCCCCGCACAAGCGGCGGAGCAUGCGGAUUAAUUCGAUGCAACGCGUAGAACCUUACCUGGGUUUGACAUGGAUCGGGAGCGCUCAGAGAUGGGUGUGCCUCUUUUGGGGUCGGUUCACAGGUGGUGCAUGGCUGUCGUCAGCUCGUGUCGUGAGAUGUUGGGUUAAGUCCCGCAACGAGCGCAACCCUUGUUCACUGUUGCCAGCACGUUAUGGUGGGGACUCAGUGGAGACCGCCGGGGUCAACUCGGAGGAAGGUGGGGAUGACGUCAAGUCAUCAUGCCCCUUAUGUCCAGGGCUUCACGCAUGCUACAAUGGCUGGUACAGAGAGUGGCGAGCCUGUGAGGGUGAGCGAAUCUCGGAAAGCCGGUCUCAGUUCGGGUUGGGGUCUGCAACUCGACCUCAUGAAGUCGGAGUCGCUAGUAAUCGCAGAUCAGCAACGCUGCGGUGAAUACGUUCCCGGG